ensembl:lncRNA
GGACGGAGGAGCCUGGCGGACUACAUACCAUCCAUGGCGUUGCAAAAAGUCGGACGCGACUGAGCAACUAAUACUUGGUUUUCAUCACUUUGUCGAAAAUCUUAUUCGCCUGGAAGAGAGAAAUCCUCCGUGGUGGCUUUCCCUGGGUUUCCACCAUAUCCGUGAGGGGAGCUUGCGAGAUGGUGCAGUCACCGACGACCCCAGGGACUGACAAAGCAGCAUUUGUUUGCAACGUGUCACUGCAAGUUGGCCCGAAGCCCCUGAUGCUGUAGCCACAUGGGGACCAAGGGGGAUUCUUUACCAGCUGAGCCACAUGGGAAGCCCAAGAAUCCUGGAAUGGGUUGCCAUUUCGUCCUCCAGCGGAUCUUCCUGACCCAGGGACUGAACCCACGUCUCCUGCCUUGGCAGGCAGACUCUCUACCUUCUGAGCCACCAGGGAAGGCCCACAGGAGGGUACCAUGCAGUCUGCUGGAUGAAUGAACAUAUUCCCGGUCCCAUGUCUGUCCUUUGUCUGAACCAAACUGUCUGGGGAGUGGUUGCUGGGAACCUGUAGACACAUGAGCCCUUUGUGACCCUUCUGAGGUGACCUUGCCAUCUGACAGGCCCUCAAACAGGGUCUCAUGUGCCACACUGCUGGAAGGCUGCUUACAUCUUAUUUGUCCCCCGCCUGGGGUGCAAUCGGUACCUUUACGUACUAUCCUCUGAAGGCCUGAUGCUGGUGGGGAGAAUGAACAUCUUCAUGGAAAAUUCCAGCUCAUCUGCACAUCAGCUACCUUUGAUUGAAAAGCGCAUCUCUCCCA